rnacentral:rRNA from 1 species
GGCCUAACACAUGCAAGUCGAACGGAUCCUUCGGGAUUAGUGGCGGACGGGUGAGUAACACGUGGGAACGUGCCUUUUGGUUCGGAACAACUCAGGGAAACUUGAGCUAAUACCGGAUAAGCCUUUCGAGGGAAAGAUUUAUCGCCAUUAGAGCGGCCCGCGUAGGAUUAGCUAGUUGGUGGGGUAAAGGCCCACCAAGGCUACGAUCCUUAGCUGGUCUGAGAGGAUGAUCAGCCACAUUGGGACUGAGACACGGCCCAAACUCCUACGGGAGGCAGCAGUGGGGAAUCUUGCGCAAUGGGCGAAAGCCUGACGCAGCCAUGCCGCGUGAAUGAUGAAGGUCUUAGGAUUGUAAAAUUCUUUCACCGGGGACGAUAAUGACGGUACCCGGAGAAGAAGCCCCGGCUAACUUCGUGCCAGCAGCCGCGGUAAUACGAAGGGGGCUAGCGUUGCUCGGAAUUACUGGGCGUAAAGGGAGCGUAGGCGGAUAGUUUAGUCAGAGGUGAAAGCCCAGGGCUCAACCUUGGAAUUGCCUUUGAUACUGGCUAUCUUGAGUACGGAAGAGGUAUGUGGAACUCCGAGUGUAGAGGUGAAAUUCGUAGAUAUUCGGAAGAACACCAGUGGCGAAGGCGACAUACUGGUCCGUUACUGACGCUGAGGCUCGAAAGCGUGGGGAGCAAACAGGAUUAGAUACCCUGGUAGUCCACGCUGUAAACGAUGAGUGCUAGUUGUCGGCAGGCAUGCCUGUCGGUGACGCAGCUAACGCAUUAAGCACUCCGCCUGGGGAGUACGGUCGCAAGAUUAAAACUCAUAGGAAUUGACGGGGGCCCGCACAAGCGGUGGAGCAUGUGGUUU